UACGUAGGGAGCAAGCGUUGUCCGGAAUCAUUGGGCGUAAAGCGCGCGUAGGUGGCCUCAUAAGUCCGUUGUGAAAGUCAAAGGCUCAACCUUUGAAAGCCGAUGGAUACUGUGAGACUAGAGUACGGAAGAGGCGAGUGGAAUUCCUGGUGUAGCGGUGGAAUGCGCAGAUAUCAGGAGGAACACCAAUAGCGAAGGCAGCUCGCUGGGACGUUACUGACACUGAGGCGCGAAAGCGUGGGGAGCGAGCAGG
rnacentral:rRNA from 1 species